rnacentral:lncRNA from 1 species
AUGGCUCCCCCUUUCUCAAACCUUCCUAAGUUUUUCCCUUCUCCCUUGUUAACCUCAUCUUUUAGCUCUCCACCUGUCAGAGGUGAACUGACCUCCAACCAACUACCACCACUUUUUUUCUUUCAAUCUCCUCCUUAUUAAACACAAAUAUCAACAUACUUUAUGAUGGUUUAAUUUUUUAUUUGUUGAUGAAGAAUCAUUUUUUUCCUCAACCGUAGUACCAUAUGAUAUAUCAUCAGAUUAUUUGGUUGGCUAAGCAUGUAAAGACAUAUACAUUGUAAAUGUAUGAAUUAUAGUUAAUGUUUUUCUUUUUUGUUUUGGGUGGUUAGAUUGGAAUUUUAUUUUAUUUUUGAAGGGGAAAAGAAACAAAGAAACUUGGGGAGAGGGGAAAGAAGUA